AGAGUUUGAUCCUGGCUCAGGAUGAACGCUAGCGGCAGGCCUAACACAUGCAAGUCGAGGGAUAAGCUUUCGGGCUGAAACCGGCGUACGGGUGCGUAACGCGUAUACAAUCUGCCUUUCACUGGGGGAUAGCCCGAAGAAAUUUGGAUUAAUACCCCAUAGAAUAAUGGUGUGGCAUCAUAUUAUUAUUAAAGCUACGGUGGUGAAAGAUGAGUAUGCGUUCUAUUAGCUAGUUGGAGAGGUAACGGCUCCCCAAGGCUACGAUAGAUAGGGGUUCUGAGAGGGAUGUCCCCCACACUGGUACUGAGAUACGGACCAGACUCCUACGGGAGGCAGCAGUGAGGAAUAUUGGACAAUGGUCGGAAGACUGAUCCAGCCAUGCCGCGUGCAGGAUGAAGGUCUUAUGGAUUGUAAACUGCUUUUGUAAGGGAAGAAUAAGGAGUACGAGUACUUUGAUGACGGUACCUUAUGAAUAAGCAUCGGCUAACUCCGUGCCAGCAGCCGCGGUAAUACGGAGGAUGCGAGCGUUAUCCGGAAUCAUUGGGUUUAAAGGGUCCGUAGGCGGGCUGGUAAGUCAGAGGUGAAAGCGCUUAGCUCAACUAAGCAACUGCCUUUGAAACUGCUGGUCUUGAAUGGUUGUGAAGUAGUUGGAAUGUGUAGUGUAGCGGUGAAAUGCUUAGAUAUUACACAGAACACCGAUAGCGAAGGCAUAUUACUAACAAUUAAUUGACGCUGAUGGACGAAAGCGUGGGGAGCGAACAGGAUUAGAUACCCUGGUAGUCCACGCU
rnacentral:rRNA from 1 species